GGGACCAUCGGCGAGGCUGGAGCUUACCAGAAUAACCAAGACGUUGGGACGUUCCGUUUGAACGUCGCGGAUAUCUCGCGUGCCGUUCCUGCAGCUGAAGAUACCUUUGGCCGUGUACGACGUGGUGGAAGCAGCAAGAAGAGGAGGCUACCGAGAGAGGAUCCGGGCUCGAGCUCGCACACCAGCUAGCUACGCGGAGCGGUGGACGGCCGUCGCUGGCCUGGCUGAUCAAGUGGACAGAGAACACGUCGGGGAGGACAAAAAAAAAAAAAAAUAGCGCCUGGGUGGGGGAGGGCUCCGCGGGCCCAAUUAGAGAAGACAAACUGCCGCGGCGGACUCGGACAAGAAAGCAGCCUGAGGGACUCUUGUGCUCGCCUCCGCUCAUCCGCCCUGAGUGACAAAGGGCGUUGACUGUGCCCGGCUAGGCGCGGAGGCGCGCUGCUACUGAUUGGACUGCUUCGCAGGCAGACACCGUGCUCUCUUUCCCUCUUUCUCCCUACGACACCCCUCGUAUCCAGCGCUAUUCAAUACGCUUCUUCUGCACCCUUAAUCAAAUCGAAUCAAAGUCACGAAACCGGGAGCCAGGGGGUGGUAUAGCACAGGAGGAUGAGUGAGGUUGGGACGGAUCGAGAAAUUAGGGGGGUGGGAGUGGGGAGGCCGAAGGGCGGAGGGUAUGUUCCUUGGUGCAGGACAGCAGCUACAAGCGACUCCAAGGAGACGGCCUCUCAUCAGGCAGCGGGGGAACAGCGCAAGUUGAGCUCUAGUGUUCUACAUCUACCCUGUAGAUCCGAAUUUGUUUGCCACUAGACUACAAAUUCGGUUCUAGAGAGGUUUGUGUGGUACAUACGAAACGUCACACUGCGUAGAAGAACCCUCCCGACGAUGCAUCGACCAUGGGCGCUUGUGUUGUGCACGUGUGCUUUGAAGAGUGUGGAUGGAUGUCAUGCGGAUGUAUACGAUAGGAGUUUUAUAACCGUACGGGUUGCCCGCCAUGUCCCCGUCUCCUGGGGAAGACUGUUUAAUGAAUGUGAGAGUUACGGCGGUGAUGGUCUUCAAAAAAAAAAAACAUUUUAAUACAUGCAUGUUCUUUACCUUGCUUACUUGCUUUCAUCGUUCACCUUGUGGGACGAGCGUUAAAAAAUAAAGGACACUCUGUUUGCCCGUUGUCGAAGUAGACGUGAAGGUGUUCAACAAUAAAUAAGUUGUUUUUUUUUUCCUUCACUCUUCAUUAUAUCUCAGCAAGCCGAUGUGAUGAACAUAUUUACAAUAAUGCCAUGUUUAGAGGACCAGACUGCUAUUCCUGAAUUGCGCUUAUGCCAUAGCAAAGCGAGCCAAGAAGAUUAUGCGGGUAGAACAUACCACCGAAUAAGCAUUAACGCAAGGAAGAACAGAGCAGGACAACGUCUUUGUGCACAUGUUUCUUGGCUGGUACAUCGCACCUCCACAUGAUGAACCAAUUCGCCCAGCAAACAACGUCGCUAGGCCAUUGAGAAGCUGCGAAACCGCAGGACUCGUGCCGGCGCUACAAUAUAGAGUUUCGCGAUGAUUUCGUCAUCACGGCAUGAUAUGACAUUGUCUACUCGAGUCUCGGCUGUUGUAAAGUACCGCGUUUCCUCCCAUUCAGUUCUAUGCCAGUAUGUUGUCGUCCAGCGUUCCCGGUUGACUGAUCCCAUCGGUAACGCAGAUGCAGCGCUGCUCUGACCAAUGGCGAAGCGCAAACGGGAAUGACAUCAGAAAGGACAUCGCUACAAAUCAACAGCCGUGGGUAGAGAUAAUGAGAACCAGAGUUAAAUACCAGCGUGUAACUCGGUCUUAAGACUGUUGUUAGCGCAUAAACAGCUCAGGUACCAUCAUUCGUGGCGUCGUACUGACGUGGCAAAAGCGAAAUAUUAGUAUUCAAGGCUCUUGUCGCUAAGUAUUAGCAGUGAUUCCACAAACGCUUUUCAAUAUUUUCAGUUCAACACUACAAGCACGUAAUGCUAUAGAGUGGUGGCGGUGUGAACACUUAACACUUCUACAGACAAAGGUAUAACGAAGCUCAGUCUCUGCUAACUCUGUAAUCAGCAUUCUAAUAAUAAUGUCUGGGGUUUAACGUCCCAAAACCACGAUAUGAUUAUGAGAGACACCGUAGUGGAGGGCUCCGAAAAUUUCGUCCACCCGGGGUUCUUUAA